GUGAUGAAGCAGUGGCAGUAUCAUAGCCAAUGAAGUUAAUCUGAGGCGUGAUUAUUGCUAGUUGAAAACUUUUCUCUGAAUACUGUGUGUGUGCCUCAGUUUCCCCAUGUGUUACUCAAUUAUUGAACUGGUGGGAUACA